AUAGUCGAAGCGUCAUCAAGUUGUUUAACUACACAUUAUUGUCUGGGUUCUUACUCUGUGUGGAUUUGUGGGUAGAUACUAACAUCUCAGAGAAAUAUACUGUAUCCAAUUUCAGCCGGCCAAUGCAAAUUGGUACAAUUCGAAUGAUGGCAGUAAUAGGCGUAAUGCGAGCUUCGAUCAGUAAAUCGUAAAAAAAAUACGUUUCGUACCGGCUAUUGUUAAUAAUAUUUAUUAACAAAGGAAACCAUUUUAGUUCUUCUGGAUUUGCCCAUUUUAGCAUAAAAAAUCAUGCCAUAUGUGGUAGUGAGAGGCAGCCUUGGUAUGGCAAAUACAAAAGUGUAUGGCUUGUCAUUGCACGAAGCAGAGAAAAUUAGUGCAAAACUUCGGCCAGGCCCCAAAAAUACUGAGAAGGAUGAAUUGACGUUCUACAAUUCAGCAGCCUAUGUUAUGAAUCAGUUGGAGUACUUUUUUGGCUAUCGAGUAAUUACAUGUGCAAGCCAAGGGAAUUCAGGACAACCUAUAUGGACUAUGACAAGAACCUAUUGACACUUUGUGUUGUGAUAUUGUGAUUGACAUAUUGAUUCCAUCAGUACUUUUGUGAUAAAGUGUUCCACAGACAAAAAUAUUAUGGUUGCAUAACCCAUAGCAGCAUUUUAUCCAAGAAAAAAUAAUUUCUGAAGGUGGAUGACAAAUAUAUGAAAGCACAGAUCUGUGUAACUUGUGCUGAACACAGUGUUUGGUCAGGUUGAAAUAAAAGAGUUGGUCAUGGACAAACAACAGGAAAAUGAACAUGCUUCAUCAGCAUGAUACUGACAAUGCUCUCCCCAGCAUGCAAUUCAGUUUGAAGGACUGAUCACUACAGAUGAUA